AUCAACCUACGGGGCGCAGCAGUGGGGAAUAUUGCACAAUGGGGGAAACCCUGAUGCAGCGACGCCGCGUGAGUGAAGAAGUAUUUCGGUAUGUAAAGCUCUAUCAGCAGGGAAGAAAAAAGACGGUACCUGACUAAGAAGCCCCGGCUAACUACGUGCCAGCAGCCGCGGUAAUACGUAGGGGGCAAGCGUUAUCCGGAUUUACUGGGUGUAAAGGAGGCGUAGACGGCCCGGUAAGUCUGAGGUGAA
rnacentral:rRNA from 1 species